rnacentral:rRNA from 1 species
UACGUAGGCACCAAGCGUUGUCCGGAGUUACUGGGCGUAAAGGGUCUGUAGGCGGCUACGCAAGUGUCGUGUGAAAGCCCCGUGCUUAACACGGGGAGGCCACGGCAGACUGCGCAGCUCGAGGGAUGCAGAGGGUGGUGGAAUUGCCGGUGUAGUGGUGAAAUGCGUAGAGAUCGGCAGGAACACCCAGGGCGAAAGCAGCCACCUGGGCAUCAACUGACGCUGAUGGACGAAAGCGUGGGGAGCGAACCGGG